UUCUGCCGGGAGCCUGCAUGUCAGGGAGAUGUGAAGUUGCGGUUCCUGGAGCUCAUCCUUUCUGACCGCACAGAAGAAGGCCCUCGGUAGGAGUGACUGGAGCCCACACAUGAGGGUUAUCAUCUGGGAGAAGAAGGAAGAGGAAACUACCAUUCCAGUGCCUUCCCCGCAGCGUUCAGGAAGCUCAGAACAAAUUAGGGGGUGCCCUGCCAUUUCACCCACGGAUCACAGGGCCCUCCAGCUUCUGUCGGGACUUGGGGGGUUCAGGUUUCCUGCCAAUUGCACUUUCGGUCACAGAACGGAGAGGAAAUGGAAUCGUUAACGGCAUUGGAAUUUUUCUCUGAAGCCCAUUUGCUGCCUAUCUCCUGGAACAGCUACCCUAGCACGCAGGAGCUUCCCUGCCAGGAAAGGAGGAAGCACUGAGAUGGGAGAGGAAGAGUCUAGAAUAAAUGAUAACAGGAAUGCUGCCUAGGGUGUGCCCCCUGCCCCAGCUCCUCCCAGAAUGAGCCCCCGGGAUGCCCAUCACGGAACCCCCUGUUGCUGGCAAAGGAAAGCAAGUGGGCUGUUGGUCUCGUCUUCUUAGGGAGCUCCCCGCUCAGGGAAGUGCCUGGGUUCCGGGCCCUGAUUUCCCUGGCUUCGUCUCCAGAGGGCAUCAGUCCGUGCUUGGCUUCCCGGGGCGGGGGGGGGGGGGGGGGCCAGCCUCUUGCAGGGUCUUGGAUAAGCAGUAUGAUUAGGGCCAGCGGGUUCCACACGCACUCCACCCACGCUGGUCCUCACCGAGUACCUCCUACUUCAUACGGACUUUCAGACCCUCAGAUAACCAAAGAGUGUCUCUCUAGGAACCGUUGGGUUAUGGCUGCUGUUUCUACCUUCCUUGGCCACUCACGUUCCCACAAACACAAGCCCGCACAGACGUUUUUACUCAGGCUUAACCCCGUCUCUCAUCCCCCCAAAUGUCCUGGUCCCUUUGGGGCACCCAAUUUCCCUAGCUUCAUCAGUUCGUUGGUACGCGAAAGACCUCAGUACUCCACGGUGUUCGCUCAGAUUGUUCUGUUGAUGUAAGGACCUCCCCUCCAAGAUGUCUGCCCCCAGGAAGUGUAUUUCCGGGAAUCCACAAGAAAGGCCUCGUGCAGAUUCUCCAGAAGUCUAUCCUCUUGCCACUUGAAAACAAUCGCCCAUGACCACGGGGGCAUCAGCUCUCGCCCACCAUCUCCACUGGGAAUUACACCCCCACUCUGGCAUCAACUUUCCCUCACCCUUGCACGCUGCUCAUGGACACCCAUCAUGAUGACUCCGCGUUCUUGUGGGACCCAGGCAGGGGAGAAAUGCAUGCUUCCUCCACUCUGCGGGCCACUGUGUCAACUGGGCUCCCAAACAGCCCCUGUGAAAACAGCUGCACCACACGACAUGGGCCAGGGGCUGGGCCAGGGAGAGGGAUCAUGCUGUCUUCCUCCACGGCUGCUCAGCUCAGCUCCCGGCGUCUAUGCGCAGACCCCUUCCCAACGCGCUCUCCCCCGUACAACGCCCCCUCCCCGGGACGUUGCCAGCCCACCAAAUCAGCAGACGGGGCGAGAGGCUGACCCCCCUCGGCCCAGCCUGAAUCCUUGCUCAACGUCCACACCACGUUUUGCAAUUCUCUUGGCCAGUGGAUGACAGAAACUGGCAUCGCCCUUGUAUGAUCUCAUAGCCCCUCCAGAGUGCAGCAUUCAUGGGCUCUCAGCGGCAUUGCCUUAGUGAGAGCCAUAAUUUCACUGGUUUGCAUUCACUCAUGAAGUUCUAAUUUGUCUUUUUCUUUUCAUGUCUUUGAGCUAUUUGAGGGCAGAGCCCGUGUCUUCAACAGUUUUGUACUCUGCCACGGGAUGUGGCCAUUCCCCGGCACGGAGGAGAUACUCCGUGGCCACCAAGGACUGAACCAGGGUCAACAUGGGACACUUGGGGCGAGAUGGAACUUGACCUGGAGGCCCCUCGAGGUCCUUCCCAAGGCUUACUUUUCUACAUUCCGAUUCUGGAGGUCUGGGGGAGGCGCCUAGAAAGGAAUAAAGGUCUAAUAAACACCAUCAUUUGGAA